GACGAACGCUGGCGGCGUGCUUAACACAUGCAAGUCGAGCGGAGCGGCGAACGGGUGAGUAACGCGUGAGUAACUGCCCCCCUCCCUGGGAUAACAGUUGGAAACGGCUGCUAAUACCGGAUAGUGGGGGAUGACUCGCGUCCUAUCAGCUUGUUGGUGGGGUAGUGGCCUACCAAGGCGACGACGGGUAGCCGGCCUUGGAGGGGGACCGGCCAAAAUGGGCCAAAGUACAGCCCCAACUCCUACGGGAGGCAGCGGGGGGGAAUUUGGCAAAAUGGGGGAAACGCUGAUGCAGCAACGCCGCGUGCGGGAUGACGGCCUUCGGGUGGUAAACCGCUUUCAGCCAUGACGCGGUAGUGGCAGAAGAAGCACCGGCUAACUACGUGCCAGCAGCCGCGGUAAUAC
rnacentral:rRNA from 1 species